rnacentral:lncRNA from 1 species
GCUGGUUUGGUGUUAACAUAAGACCUACAAGAACAUUUUAUUGAUAUAAUCGUAUAAACAUUUGAAUUGAAAAUUUCAAAAGAAAAAUCCUGAAUGGGCAUCUAAGGGCUAUCCUCAAAGACAGAAAUAUCCAGGUAUCUAAGGGCUAUCCUCAAAGACAGAAUAUUCAGCUAUCUAAGGCUAUCCUCAAGAAGAAAUAUUCAGCAUCUAAGCUAUCUCAAAGACAGGAAUAUUCAGGCAUCUAAGGGCUAUCCUCAAAGACAGGAAUAUUCAGCAUCUGAGGGCUAUCCUCACAGACAGAAAUAUUCAGGUAUCUAAGGGCUAUCCUCAAAGACAGGAAUAUUCUAACUUGUCAGGUCAGCAGUUUGUAUUUCAACACAUAUUGUUAAUAUUUUAAUGUUUGAACUUGUAUUGAUUUAUCAACAAACAAAUAACUCUUAACCUUCUGAUAUCAACAGAAUCGUGUAAAAAAUUCAACAACAUAUAAAACUAACAAAUGCACUCAUGCACAUGCUGUCAAAAUAUUUGACAAAGUUGAAAAGUCCAAACAAAUUUCAUUAAUGUGUAUUCAUUUUUAUUUGUGGGAUACCAAAUGUUUGUUAAUUUCUUUUGCAAAAGGAGCACCACA